GACGAACGCUGGCGGCGUGCUUAACACAUGCAAGUCGAACGGUAAGGCCCUUCGGGGUACACGAGUGGCGAACGGGUGAGUAACACGUGGGUGAUCUGCCCUGCACUUCGGGAUAAGCCUGGGAAACUGGGUCUAAUAACGGAUAGGACUCCUGGCUUCAUGGUUGGGGGUGGAAAGCUUUUGCGGUGUGGGAUGGGCCCGCGGCCUAUCAGCUUGUUGGUGGGGUAAUGGCCUACCAAGGCGACGACGGGUAGCCGGCCUGAGAGGGUGACCGGUCACACUGGGACUGAGAUACGGCCCAGACUCCUACGGGAGGCAGCAGUGGGGAAUAUUGCACAAUGGGCGCAAGCCUGAUGCAGCGACGCCGCGUGAGGGAUGACGGCCUUCGGGUUGUAAACCUCUUUCAGCUAUGACGAAGCGCAAGUGACGGUAGUAGCAGAAGAAGGACCGGCCAACUACAUGCCAGCAGCCGCCGUAA
rnacentral:rRNA from 1 species